GACGAACGCUGGCGGCGUGCCUAAUACAUGCAAGUUGAGCGCUGAAGGUUGGUACUUGUACCAACUGGAUGAGCAGCGAACGGGUGAGUAACGCGUGGGGAAUCUGCCUUUGAGCGGGGGACAACAUUUGGAAACGAAUGCUAAUACCGCAUAAAAACUUUAAACACAAGUUUUAAGUUUGAAAGAUGCAAUUGCAUCACUCAAAGAUGAUCCCGCGUUGUAUUAGCUAGUUGGUGAGGUAAAGGCUCACCAAGGCGAUGAUACAUAGCCGACCUGAGAGGGUGAUCGGCCACAUUGGGACUGAGACACGGCCCAAACUCCUACGGGUGGCAGCAGUAGGGAAUCUUCGGCAAUGGACGAAAGUCUGACCGAGCAACGCCGCGUGAGUGAAGAAGGUUUUCGGAUCGUAAAACUCUGUUGGUAGAGAAGAACGUUGGUGAGAGUGGAAAGCUCAUCAAGUGACGGUAACUACCCAGAAAGGGACGGCUAACUACGUG
rnacentral:rRNA from 1 species